GGAGCCGGGGGUGGGAGGGUCCUGGCGUGGAUCAGUCCUGGCCCAGGACGUGGGAGGAGCUGCCCGGGCUGCAGAGACCUGGAGCUCAUCGUCCUCCUCCGAGGGGGUUGUGGAGAUGGAGGAAGAGCCUUGUCCCUCCUGGAUGAACUUCCUGGACACAGAGUCAGGAUCUCAGCCUGGAGCAGCCAGACCUGGAUGGAUCAGGAGGAACGAUGGAAGAAAGAAAAGGACAUUUUGGGUCAUUCCAGCCUGCUGCCGAUGGAAACUGAAUCUCCAGGAAACACCUGGAGUGGUUCUGUGCUCUGCAGUGCCUGGGACACCCCGCGGUGUCCAGCUGGCUGUGGAAACCUCCAUGGACCAUUUCCCUUCUUUUUCCACUCCUUUCCCAAAAGGAGAGGCCAGCUGGCUCUGAGCAGAAGGUCCUUCCAUGGUUUUGCUCUUGGGCAGACGUCCUGGAUGAUCCCAGAUCCGAACUGUGGAGCUCGGACGCUCCUGGAAGGGAGCGGAGACGGCUUCGGGCUGCUCUGCCAGGAGCUGAAUUCAUGCCAAAAAUCCAAAUUUGGGGGAGCACCAGCUGCAGCCACAGGAGACUGCCAGUGGGUGGAGGUGAAGAUGGAUGAAGGUGAUGGUGGACGAAGAUGAUGAUGGAUGAAGGACACUGGAUGAAGAUGGUGGAUGAAGGACACGGUGGAUGAAGAUGAUGACGGAUGAAGGUGAUGGUGGAUGAAGAUGAUGGUUGAUGAAGGUGAUGGUGAAGUUCUGCCCAUCUCCUUCCUUCAAGAGGAGCACCCAAGACCCUCCACCCAACAUCUGCCACUCCAAGGGGAGCUCUCACCCCGUGGCCCCGCAGCCAUCGGGUUGAAUUUUGCAUUUUCCCUCAACUCCUGCUCGUCCAGCCCUCCGUGAGCACCGAGACCCCCGAGCAGCCCCAGCAGCAAUUCCUGCCCCAAACCCGACCCGAGAGAGCGCAGCUGGACCCCCCAGAGCCGGAACCCCCGGACGGAGCUGCGAGCGCCCCGGGAGGAGCCUGCACCCCCAGGGAGGUCUCCCCCUUCUCCAAGCCCCCACCCCCAGCAGCCCAGAGGCGCCUGCCCCCCAAUCCCUGCUCCCACUCCUCGCCCGCUGCCCGGGGCAGCUGUGUCCAGGCUGGAUUUAAAAUCCCUCUAGAAAUGAUGUUUAUUUCCCCCUCCAUCCUUAAUUUUUUUUUAAUUCUCCCUUUUUUCCAUCCCUGCUGAUUUUUGAUUAUUAUAACUGAUUUGUCCCAUAUUUGUCUCUGCUGCACACAUCAAUUUGGGCUGAUUUCAAUCUCAAGUGAGUAUCACCUUCUAAAUAUUAAAACUAUUUUAAUAUUUGA